GAUGAACGCUGGCGGCGUGCUUAACACAUGCAAGUCGAACGUGAUCCAUUAGCAAUAGUGGCGAAAGUGGCGAACGGGUGAGUAACACGUAGAUAACCUACCCUGAAGCGGGGGAUAACGAUUGGAAACGGUCGCUAAUACCGCAUGAGCCUAUUGAAGCGGGAGUGAGAUAGGGAAAAUUCAGGUGCUUUAGGCGGGGUCUGCGUCCGAUUAGCUAGUUGGUGAGGUAACGGCUCACCAAGGCGACGAUCGGUAGCUGGUCUGAGAGGACGAUCAGCCACACGGGAACUGAGACACGGUCCCGACUCCUACGGGGGGCAGCAGUGAGGAUAUUGGGCAAUGGGCGAAGCCUGACCCAGCAACGCCGCGUGGAGGAUGAAGGCCUUCGGGUCGUAAACUCCUUUUGACGGGGAAGAGGAAGGACGGUACCCGUCGAAUAAGUCACGGCUAACUACGUGCCAGCAGCCGCGGUAAU
rnacentral:rRNA from 1 species